rnacentral:lncRNA from 1 species
UAAGUUCUGAGGCUGGCUUUGACUUUGUGAUCCUCUUGACCUUGUGAUCCUCUUGCCUCAGCCUCCUGAGUCGCUGGAUUAGAGGCAUGCACCACUGUACUAGGCAUUGGUGUUGCAUUUUUAAAAAAUGCUUACUUCAUUGAUUGCAUCCCUCAAGGCAAUACUAUCCUAAUGUGGUUUUUUUGCCCAUGGCUUCAAAUUUAAUAAGAGCUAAGUCAAAGUAUCUAGUGUUUGUACUUUUAUUUUUCCAUACAGGGCAUCAAUUCUAGAAUGGUCAUCUGAGAUUCCUAUUGGAUCAAAUGGAAAAUUAAAGCAAUAUCAAUGGUUAUCAUUAUGGCAACUGUGAGUGGGAGCCAUGAUAAGUCACCAGGGAGCUGUCACAUGGUAUAGAACACAUACAAAACAACCGUGCAGAGCAGCUCUCCACGAGUGGUAGGUGAAUAUGAUCCACCAGGUUUGCAUUGGACUACAAAGGUGAGAUUGCCUGGCCUGUGGCCAUGAGGCCGGCUGCACCUCAGGGUAAAGGUGCACUUGAGCUGGGAUUUGAAGGACCAGAGGAGUAGAAAGAUUAGAGUGGGAGGGACCAGCCAACAUGGAAGGAGAAUGGGAAUAAUUCCAGGAGUAAACAGCUGAAGUGGGUUGAUUAGACUCCAGUGCUUUCAGAUGUAUCAAUCUGUGCAUACCUUCACAACAUCCCUGGCAAGAGUGAGACAUAACUGCUGACUCCCUUGGCCCCAUCCAGAGCUCCUGGGCAGUCACUGCGGCCACAGUGCCAUCUCCCUACACCAGGACUCUUCUGUCUUCAGUCUUCUUAUGCCACAGACUUUCCAACUGAAUUCCUCUCUCAGAUCGAGGACUUCCCUUCAGUGUAGGUUAGGACGCUUCAGCUCUCCGGUUAGUCCAAGAACUAACCGAAACUCCGCCUUCCUUGCUAGUGAAAGGAAAUGGUCCCUGACUCAUGCAUUCAAAACCAACGGGCUGUGUGAUUUGGGGCAACUCCUCCUCUCCUCCAGUAAGUAAUGAGUGGUAGUUGCUUGCAGUUUGUUGACUUUUUCUUAAAUUAGGUUGUAAAUUUUUAUUACAAAUUAAAAAUGAAGUUCUUAUAAUCAUAACUUGAUCAGAUAUGAAACAGUUUAAAAAUUUUUAAGGGUGCCACACCUGCCUACAGCUACCACCAGUCAGUCUGUUCAAACUAGGAAAAAUUGAUUAGGCUUUUGCUUAACUUCUUGGUAUCUCAGCAUGAUCUGGGGUUAUGGGAGAAUUCAAUCAUUGGCACUUGCACAAUGAGAAGUUCAGUAAUGGCAACAGCAGUAGGUGCUGCCGUCUAAUCCAGCUUGAGUUACAAUAGAGCACUGGCUUAGGGACUGUGCAAAAUUGCAUAAUAGGAAUAGGAAGGAAGAGGCUGCAAGAAUUCACUGCUUUAUUUCUCAAAUCUUGGGAGACUGUUUGUGGGAUGUGCAUCUUGAAGGUGUUUGACCAAGAGGAUCAUAAUUUUGACUCUGGCUAAAUACAUGUACUGCUAUCAGUAUAAUCAGCACAAUCUGCUAGCUCUGAUAGUUGGUUACAUUUCUAACAAUUUUGUGGAUUAACUAUUGCAAACUUGGACCCAAUGGUACUCAUGUUGCACCAUACAAAUAGAUAAGAAACCCCUGGCAUGGUGUAGAGCAAAGGUUCUCAGACAACUGCGCAGUGUCUAUAGACAUUUUUUACUGUAAGAAUUUGGAGGGUGCUACAGACUUCUACUGGAUAGAGGUGCUGUUAAAUAUUCCACAAGGAGCAGAACACCCCCAACUCCCAACAAAAGAAAUCCUCGACCCAGAAUGACUAUAGACUGUUUCAAUCAGCUUUUACUUCACUGUGACCAAAAUAGCCAAGAAAAACAACUUAGAGGAGGGCAAGUUUAUUUGGGGCUCACCAUUUCAGGGGUCUUAGUCCAUGGAAGGCUGACUCCUUUGCUCUGGGCCCAACGUGAGGCAGCAUAUCAUGGUCGAAAGGCCCAGUGGAGAAAAGCUGCUCAACUCACUAUGGGGUCAGGAAGCCGAGAGAGACAAGGAGGAAGGAACCCCAGGGAAGAUGCAUCCUCAUAGGAAGAUGCGUGCCCUUGUGACCCACCUUCUCCAGUCGUGCCACACCUGCCUUCAGCUACCACCAGUCAGUCUGUUCAAACUAGGAGGGACUAAUUAGGUAACAGCUCUCACUUUACCUUUGACUGUUCACUGCAUUAACAGGAGCUUUUGGGGGCCACCUCAUAUGCAAACGCUGAUGUAGAGCAAGGAAUACCAAGACUUAGAAUGAGGGAGAUUCUGGCUUGAUGCCAUAUCCCUCACUAUGUCUCCAACAAGGUCAAGAUUAUUUAUAUCAUAUUGCAGAGGAGGUUUUUAAUUAAGGAGGCAAGACAACCUGAGGGUUAUAUUAGUCUCCCUUUUCCCUUGCCAAUCCCACAUGCUUGUGGAUGUAUUAAUUUUAGUGGCAGAGCUUCAAGAUAUAUGAAAGCUCAGAAAUAUGGACUUUCCAUCACCAAAGCUGCCACUGCUGAGUGCAUAAUUUUCCUGAUUUGCUGACCACCAUGAUUCACACUUAAUCCCCAAUCUUGAGAUGACCAGCCAUCUGAUAGUAAGCCAGGGACUUUGAACUCCUUUCUGCUGGGAAAGGAGAAUGAUCUUUCCUUCACCAUGACAGGCCUAUUCUGCAUCUGAAUUUGCCUUCUCCACCUGUCCUGUCUGCCAGCAUCAUUAUCUGUGGAUUCUCUUUUGCAAUAGGAAAUGAUCAAGAAAGAAGCAAGGGGGUGUCAUUUGGGACCAUAAAACACAGUGGAACUUCCAAAUUGGAAAGAAUGAUCAAAAGACUUUUAAAGAUCCUAAAUUGGAUAAAAAUUGUUUUAUGAUGGCUGAAACUUGACUGCUUACAGAAAGAGAAGUGUUAUGAAAUUGCAAGAGAUCUGUUACGUUGCAGGUGGGGUGUUUGAUCAACAGUUGAAAUGUUAUGUAACAAAGAAAUUUCUUUCUUUUUUUUUUCUUUUUUUAGUAAUUUGGAAAAGUAGAAUUGUGCUUUGUGCAGUGUGCUUUUAAAAUAAUUUGGAAAUGCAUUGGUUAAACCUAGGAGGAAGGAUCUGAUAACCCUGAUUAAAUAUUAAAGUAAUGCUGCAAAGAAAACUGCAAAGAAGACUACCUUCCCUUGUGAUCACAAAUUGACUGCUAGUGGCUUGCUGGACACCAUGUUUCUUCUCUUACCUCUGUCCCAGUCACAGAAUGACAGCCUGUCCCAUUUGUCUCCCCGUACCAAAGGGGUCACUUUUCCCAGUCCAAACCACUAGUAGUUGUAGGGGGUGUCAUGUGCCAAUUGGCUUGCACUGAAGUUUCUGACAUUACUACUGUAACGCUGAUGGAAUCACCAUAUUUGACUGAGACGAAUCAGGACCCCAUUCCUGUGGCUGGGAAUGGAAUUGUCAUCUCUUGUGUCUCACGAGUUGUGAGGGGAACAAAUGAAUCAUGGUGGAAGUUCGGGUUCUGAUGCCAAGGGAGAAGGCAGGGAUGGGUGCUGGGGGAAGAGCUUCUGUGAGGGGCAAGCUCCUCUUGCCCUUGCAGAGGUCAUGCUCAAGUACAGUCCCAACACACCCUAACUCCCUUCUUGUCUGUUUUCCUGGUUGUACAAAAAGCCAGACACAAGCAGGUGGCAGUGCCAGCUUCUGUUUCGGUGAAGAACUUGUGCGUCUUGGAGUGGGGCUGAGAAGGGAGAAGAGUUCAGUGAGGACUUCCGACCUGCAGAGCCAGGAGUCCUGGGGAAAGGAAGCAAGUGGUCAUGAGUUGUCAUCAGGAGAGAAUCCUCCUGUCUGUCCCAUCUCCCAACUUUACUUUUGGACUCCCCUAUUUGUGCAUUCCACUAAGAUAAAAUCAUAAAAUGAUGGAUUCAAAUGAAUUCAAAGCAUGCACUGUAUCUGAGAGGCAGCAGCCAGUCCUCCACUGUGUGGCUCCUGGUGGCACGGCUAAAGCUGACCCACAGAGGAUCACACAGGGGCUCUGACCCCAAAAGCCUGGAAUCCCGUCUUCCUUCUGAUUUUCUGUUCAUGGGUUUUUAUUCAGUUUCAGGUGGGGUUUCUGUUACUUGUUUGUUUGUUUUUAUUUGCCCAAAGCAUCCAAAUGGGGGCUGGGUGGCAGGCCUGAAGAGAACAGUGAGAAUCUGGGAAGGCCCUGUGGCUCUUCUUUCCACACCAUUCCUGCUAGCAGAAGUGCACAAAGACCACUCACCUUACACCUUACACCACAGAGAGCCCUUGGGUGGGGAGUUCGGCCCUUUAGCAAGCCCAGAUCCCUGUAGAGUGCUGACCAAGUGGGACUGCAACAGCAGGAGAACAGGAGUCCCAGCUGUGUUCUUGUGACCAAUCUUAAUCUCAGUUUCUGUUUCCUUCAUUUCUUCUUUUUUGUUAAAAUUUCACUUCUAUUUCUACUGACAUUAUUAUUCCCCCAUUAUUAGCAGCUGUUUGGGCAAUGAUAAAGUUCACCAUGGACUUCAAAUCAUCAAGAUUGGACUGCAAUGGAAUAAGAGGUGAAAUGGAACUUCUUGAGAGAUCGUAAACUCAGAACUAAGUCUUUUUUUAACCUGUGCUGUGCUGGGGAUUGAACCCAAGGCCUCGUAAUUCACUGAGUUACGACCUCAGCUAAGUUUUUACUUUCAGAUACAAAAGAUGGCAUGACUUUGGGUCACCUUUCAUUGAAGAGGGGACAGGAGUGUUUACAAUUACAUGUGGAAACUCAUAAGCCCUGGGACAGGAAUGCUUCUGGAAAACCUCAGAAGGAUUUGUGAGGGCACAUGACUAGGCUGGUGUUGGAAUACAGGUGGUCCCUUUCUGCCCAGCGCCUGUCGUUUGGAGAAGAGUCUUCACCUACUUCAUGUAGCUCUUAGUCCAGGUCCUUCAAGAAGCAGAUGGCAAGAUGGGAUUAAUUUGUGUAAAGAAAUGUAUGUGGGGAAAUGCCUGUCAGAGAAAACGGGGAGGAAGCCAGGAGAGGCUGGGAGAGCAUCAGACUCAGUCUGGUGAAAGAAGAGGGGAAACAGGAAGGAAGAUGGGGUAGAACAGUCUUAGAAUAAAGAACAGUUCUGAAGUCUAUUCCAGGGAGUCUUGCUCAAGCUUCCCAAGAAGGGGCUUGCCUCGUACCCCUACUGGGGCGGUUAUUGACUGGGAGCUGCCUGAGAGGGAAUCUAGGCUCAGUGCUGUCCUCAGGUGGAUUUCAGAGCAGCCUCAGGCUCUCAAUCAUUUAGGUUCCCUGCCACUGGGGAUUCGAGAGGUGUAUCCCCAUCAGCUGAGCAGUUAGUUACAGGAGGGAGCACCCUGGCUCCCCGCCCACACAGGGGAAGGAGACUAAGUUGGGCCAGCACACACCUCUCAGGAAUUUGAACUUCCCUGGAGGAAACUCACAGAGGCCUUGAGGAGUCAGAGUCCCACAGUGGCACAGUCUCUGGGGGGAUACCCCAGCUGCCUUGAUUCCAUUUCAAGACUUUAUGGGUCAGACCUUUGAUAUGUGAAGUUUUCAGUAUAGUUCCAGUACCUGCAUACCUCUUUGUUUUAAAAUAUUUUAGAGUUUUUCUAUUGCUUGUAAAUUUCCAAGAACCCUAGUGGAGGUGGGGGAAAGGAGCUAGUUUUUAAAAAUAAAUAAAUGUUUUUAGAGAUAAACAACAACUACAACAAAAUAACCCAAUCAACAAAUGGGCCAAAGAUCUAAACAGACACUUCACAGAUGAAGAUAUACAAGUAAUCAACAAGUACACAGAAAAAUGCUCACCAUCGCUAGCUAUCAGAGAAAUGCAAAUUAAAACCACUCUAAGAUACCAUCUCACUCCAGUAAGAAUGGCAGCCAUUAUGAAGUCAAACAAUAACAAGUGCUGGCGAGGAUGUGGAAAAAAAGUUACACUCGUACAUUGCUGGUGGGACUGCAAACUGGUGCAGCCAAUUUGGAGAGCAGUAUGGAGAUUCCUUGGAAAGCUAGGAAUGGAACCAUCAUUUGACCCAGCUAUUCCCCUUCUCGGACUAUACCCAAAAGACCUAAAAAGAACAUACUACAUGUGUACAGCACAAUUCACAAUAGCUAGACUGUGGAACCAACCCAGAUGUCCUUCAACAGAUGAAUGGAUUAAAAAAAUGUGGCAUUUAUACACAAUGGAAUAUUAUUCAGCAGUAAAAAAUAACAAAAUCAUGGCAUUUGCAGGGAAAUGGAUGGCACUAGAGCAAAUUAUGCUAAGCGAAGUUAACCAAUCCCUAAAAAACAAAUGUCAAAUGUUCUCUGAUAUAAGGGAGGUGACUCAAAACAAAGUAGGAAGGAAGAGCAUGAGAAGAAGAUUACCAUGAAGUAAGGAAAAGAGGAGGGAGGGAAAAGGAGGGAGAAGGGAAAUGCACAGAAAAUGGAAGGAGACUCUCCUGGGUUCACAAAAUACAUAUACAAUGGUGUGAGGGGGAAGGGAAGGGAAAAAAAGAGAGAGAGAGAGAGAUAAGUGUCACAGUAGAAUGGGUAGACAAUAGGGAUGUGAGGGGAGGGGAGGGGAGAGGAGGAUAGGGAGGGCAGCAGAAUACAACUGACAUUAGGAUUGCUGUAUGUAUACACGUGAAUGUAUAACCAAUGUGAUCCUGCAAUCUGUACACGUGGAAAAAUGAGAAUUCAUAUCCUAUUUGAAUCAAAUGUAUGAUAUGUCAAGAUCAUUGUAUUGUCUUGAACAACUAAUAAAAAAUAAAAAUAAAAUAAAUAAAUA